CGGAGUGAGCUUGAAGUAGCGUGUUUGCAUUAGUUUUUUGAAGUGCUGUUGGGGUUGGGGCUGCGUGAUCGUCACUGGCGUCCUCCAGAGUGCCCACCGAUCAGAAAGUCGUACGAACCGCAAGCUUUGAACGUCUGUUUAUCGCACCAUCGAAAGCGGCGGCACAGAAGGCGCGAUGUGAGCUCCGGUGGGAACAGCAGCCCUUUGUCUCGUAACGGUGCCGUCCAGACUGGCCAUGAGACCAGCGAGUUUGCUGUAGAAACAGCCAUUUGGGAGUGGCUGCGUCACGCUUCUGCCAGGCACAGAACUGCCAUUGCCAAGGACUGUGCCACUGAACAGCCCGGAUAUGUGUGACAUGGUUCCCUCGGCCUGUUGUACCUUUACCUAUCACCCGCGGCAUCUAGCUGCCAGUGUGACCUUGCUUUCUUCAGCGCUGUGCCACUGAAUAGCCCAGACACGUCUGACAUGGUCUCCUAGGCCUGCUGUACUUUCACCCAUCACCCGUGGCGUCUAGAUCUAGUGUGCCGAGUUGUCCAAAACUGCCAAGUGCUUUAUGAUGUCACCAAUGUGGUAAAUGCUCUAGUACUGUUAUGUGCUCCGCGACUCUGCCAUGCGCUCUCCACUUCUCCAGUAUAUAAAGUGUCCCAUGGCGUCUCCAUUUGCGAAGUGCAUUACCAAGUCUCCAAGUGCUCCAGAACUGUGUUAUGUGCUCCGCAGCUGUGCCGAGUGCUCUCCGUUUAUGCAGUAUACCAAGUGCCCAUUGCGUCUCCGCAUUUUACCAAGUGCUCCAAUAUUGUCAACUGCUUGACCACGUCUGGAAUGUGCCAUGUUCUCCACUGCUGUGCCAGGUGUAUACUUUGUAAAUGAUAUACAUGUCUUAAGUUCAACCAACACCUCUAUUGCAUAACUUAUCCAUACAGUGGGUCUUCACAUAGACUUCUAAGUCAGUAUGUACACAUAUUGUAGAGUUGUGUUACUGUUUCUGUAGAGUAGAUGUGGGUCAACAUGUUUUUUCUUCAUAGAAGGCUACAGCGCGGAACCAACAAAGACAAGGAACACAGACACAGUGCUGACUUUCAACAAGAAUCAGCUUUCUGAAAGUCAGUGCUGUGUCUGUUCUUUGUGUGCCUCUCCUGUACUUCGUCGGUUUCGUGCCAUGGCCUUCUACGAUGUUCAACCAACAAGCCCAACUGGUUACUCUGCUCAAAUGUUUUUUCUACCACUCUUGGUACCUUUGUGCUGUUUCCUAUAUCAAGUGCCCAGCUUGCUGCUGCCAUUGAUGUCAUCAUUGCCAAAACAGCUUUCAUAAAUAACAGCAUAAAUUUGGACAGCACAAUAUUAUUUUUAAAUUUUCAUUUCAUUCUAAUAUAUAAAGAAGAUUGUACUUAUUUGUU